GACAGAGGGGGCAAGCGUUGCUCGGAAUCACUGGGCGUAAAGGGCGCGUAGGCGGGAUGGCAAGUCGGUCGUGAAAUCCUUCGGCUCAACCGAAGAACGUCGGCCGGUACUGCCGUUCUUGAGGGAUGCAGAGGAGAUUGGAAUUCCCGGUGCAGCGGUGAAAUGUGUAGAGAUCGGGAGGAACACCGGUGGCGAAGGCGGGUCUCUGGGCAUCUCCUGACGCUGAGGCGCGAAAGCGCGGGGAGCGAACAGG
rnacentral:rRNA from 1 species